rnacentral:lncRNA from 10 species
UUUUAUAAGGGACUUUUCUCCCUUUUGCUCAAUACUUCUCCUUGCUGCUGCCAUGUGAAGAAGGAUGUGUUUGCUUCUCCUUCUGCCAUGAUUGCCCACCUGGCUCCUUUCACCUUUCUUACACAGGUGACAUUCCCAGAACCUGGAGGCCAGGCUAUGACACAGAGUCAAUCAAUAACCAGGGAGAUCUGUGAUAUAGCCCAGUAGGUGGGGCCUUGCUGCCAUCUGCCAUAUGACCCUUCCAGUCCCAGGCUUCUGAAGAGACGUGGUAAGUGCGGUGCAGUUUUCAACUGACCUCUGGACGCAGAACUUCAGCCAUGAAGGUAACAGGCAUCUUUCUUCUCAGUGCCUUGGCCCUGUUGAGUCUAUCUGGUAACACUGGAGCUGACUCCCUGGGAAGAGAGGCCAAAUGUUACAAUGAACUUAAUGGAUGCACCAAGAUAUAUGACCCUGUCUGUGGGACUGAUGGAAAUACUUAUCCCAAUGAAUGCGUGUUAUGUUUUGAAAAUCGGAAACGCCAGACUUCUAUCCUCAUUCAAAAAUCUGGGCCUUGCUGAGAACCAAGGUUUUGAAAUCCCAUCAGGUCACCGCGAGGCCUGACUGGCCUUAUUGUUGAAUAAAUGUAUCUGAA